rnacentral:rRNA from 1 species
AGAUUGAACGCUGGCGGCAUGCCUAACACAUGCAAGUCGAACGGGAGUAGCAAUACUCUAGUGGCGGACGGGUGAGGAAUACGUAGGAAUUUGCCCUUAAGUGGGGGAUAACCCGGGGAAACCCGGAUUAAUACCGCAUGACCUCGAAAGAGCAAAGUGGGGGAUCGCAAGACCUCACGCUUUUGGAGAAGCCUACGUCGGAUUAGCUAGUUGGUGAGUAAUGGCUCACCAAGGCGACGAUCCGUAACUGGUCUGAGAGGAUGAUCAGUCAACACCGGAACUGAGACACGGUCCGGACUCCUACGGGAGGCAGCAGGUGGGGAAUA